GACGAGUGGCGGACGGGUGAGUAAUGCUUGGGAACUUGCCUUUGCGAGGGGGAUAACAGUUGGAAACGACUGCUAAUACCGCAUAAUGUCUUCGGACCAAACGGGGCUUCGGCUCCGGCGCAAAGAGAGGCCCAAGUGAGAUUAGCUAGUUGGUAAGGUAACGGCUUACCAAGGCGACGAUCUCUAGCUGUUCUGAGAGGAAGAUCAGCCACACUGGGACUGAGACACGGCCCAGACUCCUACGGGAGGCAGCAGUGGGGAAUAUUGCACAAUGGGGGAAACCCUGAUGCAGCCAUGCCGCGUGUGUGAAGAAGGCCUUCGGGUUGUAAAGCACUUUCAGUUGUGAGGAAAAGUUAGUAGUUAAUACCUGCUAGCCGUGACGUUAACAACAGAAGAAGCACCGGCUAACUCCGUGCCAGCAGCCGCGGUAAUACGGAGGGUGCGAGCGUUAAUCGGAAUUACUGGGCGUAAAGCGCACGCAGGCGGUUUGUUAAGCUAGAUGUGAAAGCCCCGGGCUCAACCUGGGAUGGUCAUUUAGAACUGGCAGACUAGAGUCUUGGAGAGGGGAGUGGAAUUCCAGGUGUAGCGGUGAAAUGCGUAGAUAUCUGGAGGAACAUCAGUGGCGAAGGCGACUCCCUGGCCAAAGACUGACGCUCAUGUGCGAAAGUGU
rnacentral:rRNA from 1 species